UAACUCUUGUUUCUCUUCAAAUCGCAUAAAUCUUUUGCCUUUUACUAAAGAUUUCCAUGGGGAGAAACAACAUGAGUAAAAUUACAAUUUUUAAAAGCCCUCCGAAGCAGGGCUU